GGGAGGAGCUCAGACAUGGCAGGCUGCAGGUCCCGAGCCCUGCCCCACCUGGAGGCAGCUAAGGCCCAGCCAGAAUUUGAGUGUGAAGCCGGCGAGCUGGCACUGCGGGGGGACCCAGCGCAACCUCCGCAGCUGCUGACCCGGGUGCUAAGCCCCUCACUGCCCUGGGCCUGCGGUGCCGGCUGGCUGCUCCGUUUGUGGGGCCUGCUGAGCUUCUGCCAGCGCAAACCGGAACUCAUACCGUCCGGUGAGCGCAGCCCCGGUUCCCACCCGCGCCUCUCCUUCCACACCUCCCUGCAAGCAGAGGAAGGAAGCUCCGGUCUCAGCCAUCCCAGAGAGGGGCUCCCAUGGUACCCUGGCGGGCUGAAGGGCUCAAGUGCCGCCAGAGUGGACGGCAAGGCUGGAGGCCAAGGAGGCACUGAGAGUGAGGGCUGCUAGCACAUUGUCACCUCUCAGUAUCAGGCAUUGUGCCAGCUCCUCUAUUGGGCAUUAUCUCACUUAAUCCUCAGUUCAACCCUAUAAGGUUGGUAAUUGUAUCCAUUUUGCAAGUGAGAGGCUGAGGCUCAGAGAAGUUAAAGGACUUACUAAAAAUCACAGGCCACAGUGUGGCAGAACAGAGCCAACAUUCAGACACUCAUAAGUCCAGAGCGGGUUUUCACUGCUAGAACUCUAGGACUCAAGCUCAAAUCAAUCAACUCCUAAUUUUAUGGUUCUUCCAGUGGCCACGCUGUCUAGUCAGAAAAUACACCCUACAAUCUCUCCCCAAAUCUCAAAACAUGGGCCCUGUUGAAAUGCACACAGCUCUGGGAGUCUCCUAGAGGCAGGACAAGGGCUGGCGAUGUCUGAGGGCAGCUAAGGAGAUAUUUGGAAAUCUAUUGGAAACUGCAUCUUCCUGCGCUGUGCUGAAUGUCCAGGUAUCUGAGAAUACAGUGAAGGAAAAUUAACCGAAUAUUCAAAUCUCUACAGAAUGCCUACCUUGAGUCCCUGAAUUCUUUUUUAUGUAGGACAAGGGUGGUAGGGGCCACUCAGAAAGAAAUCUGAACACGCAGAACCCUUGGACUUAGAGCUGGUGGGGGUCGUAGGCAGCCAGCCCACUUCCAACGGACGGUGCCCACUACCCUUUCUUCUCAGAACCGAGCCAAGAAGGAUGGCUCAGCGGCCCGACUGGAGCACCUCUGCCUUCCUCGGCUGCUGGGUGUGUCUCCAGGGAUUCCUGUCCACGGAACUUGCCUCUUCCCUCUUGUUCAGUCGGUUUCCCAACCUGGGAGCGUCUGCGGAUCACGGUAUUUGAGAGGCUGGGCUGAGGUGGAGAAGAGGGUGGGGCAGGAGCACCUAAGUCGCUCAAGGAUUUGGUGACUCAUACCCAGGGAGGGGGGCCCUCUUUCUCCCCAGCAUUUGGGGCGCCCAAGGCUGUUCCCACCCUUAGCGGAGGAUGCCCCUGUCAUCCCCCAAGGUGCCUGCUCAGAGUGAGCCAGCUACAGCAUGGCCACCACGAGGCCGGUUACGUAUUUAUUUCCUGCCAGAACUGAACCCCAAACGCUUUUCCUUCUGUGCUGUGCGUGAAAGAAACAGAAACCGCUGCACAGCAUGUCUAUAUUUAGACCCUGGGCCCUGACCCUCCCACAGAGGUCAGCUUGUAGACUUUUCUUUCGGAGCCUGGGGAUGGGUUUGUACUUCACCCUCGAGCGCCUCCCCCUGGGAACCCGCAGAGGGCUGGGUGGCUCUGCAGUCCUGUGUGCUAAGUGCUUUUCUUCGCUUCUCGGUGCUUGGGCCGUCUUGUAAGCAAAAGUAGGUGAAUUGAAUCCACCCUUACGCGAUUGUCGUUUGCAUUAAGAUAAUGCACGUGGAAAUCUUUUGUGAGCUAUGCAGUAUCACCCAAAUUAUUUUUUAUUAUUAUUUUAAAAAUAGAAUGCAUCAGCAAGUUCUUUAUGAGCUUACUUUUUUGUUUUAACAUUUGGAAAUUGGAGCAGCUACUUAUAGAAGACUUGCGGAUCCCAGAAUGUGCCGUUUACCUGAGUGGUUUCUUUUGCACUUGCUGUGUCAGGACUUGUGAGUCCGGUGAUGUCAGCAAAUCAGCAAACAGACUCACACCUGAGCAGCCCGGGAGUGGUCUAGGGCCUGUGGAGCAAGCCAGAGUGGCCUCUUCUCAGCCUCCUCUCCACUGGAGAGCACUUGAGUUAUUAUUUGUUUCCUCCAGACCUCAGCCUCUUACCUCCUGCCAAAUUCCUUUCAGAGGCAUUCGUGCUGUAUGCCCCAAGAUUUUCCUCUGUUUACCUUCUUUAAAGUUGGCAUGGUCUUGAAUUUUAGACCACCGUAAUCUCCAUCUGACAGUGAACGUUCACAAAUUCAAAGCAAUUGCAGGAUUCAUAUUCUGAAAUUCAUGUAAAUGAUUUGUGAGUACACAUAAAACUCCUUUCUCUAAAAUACAGAAAAAGAAAAAUGUACAGCUGCUCAGGGUAACAAAGUAUUGCCUUCUAGAAAUUCUCAGGCUUCUUGUCUUUAAGGAUAAACAGGAAGCAUUUAUAAUUAGUGUCUCCGUUGUUUGCAUAUUGAGCUUCCAAAAUGCUUUAGAAGGUUCAUCUUUUCAAUCCGCCCUUCCCAGUCCUUUAUUUUUCAUUUGCUAAGCAGAGGUAAACUUGAAACCAUCUCUAUGUGACUUCUCAUAAAUCCCAAUUAGUGAGAUCUCAAAUAAUGAACUUGGCUCUCAUUUAUACAUGUGACAAAAUGUAUACCUAAAUAAAUAUCUAAUAAAAGCUCCCUAAUAGCAAAAUACCAUGAAGAGAAGCAAUUUUCCUCUCUUUUUCACACGAUGGCUCUAAUUAAUCAUACAGUACAGAAAAAUAAGAAACCUUUUAUGUAGCUUUUAGUGGUUUGGUUCAUUCUUUAGUUUCCAUCUGUGAGUAGCAUUCAUUUAUAAACCUGUCUUGCUGAGCACGAUGCUUUUAAAAAUGACUUGCUUGUGACUCAAAAACAAAAAACCCAACAAUCUUUGUAACUUUUAAUCUCAUGCAAUUUCUUCAGUUUCUUUUGUUGGUGAAUACACGUACAACUUGGUUUUGAAAUACCAUAUAUCAAAGCACAACCAAAUCAUCCCUUGGAGUCGUGAAGAAGCUCAUCCAUGUAUCACAGUCUUCUGGUCAAGCCCAUAUUUCAGUGUCUCCCACAGCUCUGAUUCUUGACCUCUAAGAAAACCCACCCUCUCACUCGUCCUGAACAGUUGCUCACUAGAGGACUAAGGGAAGGGAAAGAUUGCUCCUUAAAGUGAAAAAACAAUGUUUUCCAAAGCCGUGUUGAAUACGCAUAUUCAUCAUAUCACAGGAAGUUUUUCUUUUAAACCUAAUGUGCAUUUUCUUUAAUUUGUAUGGUUUUCUCAAGUUCAACAUUCAGUUUUCGUUUUAAUCAGUUAUAUUCUAAAAACAAUGAAAUGUUUUUCUCCUUAGAAAUUCAAUUUAAAUUAAAAAGAACUUUUGUUUUUCCCUUCUUUUAAGGCACAAAUAGUGCUGGGAGGGGGCGAGGGUAAACUUCUUUAUCUGUCCCUGUCAUUUUUUUUUUAAAGGUCCUGUUGCUUUUAUACUUCUAACCCUAAAAAAGCCUUGUCAUGCACCCAGUCUUCCCCUAGCUCUGGGCUUCCAGAGCACUGUUAUUCAACAGAGAGUUUCUAUGUAAAUCCAAAGUACUAUCUCCAAAUAGCAGAAACCUUACCACCACAGGCUCUUAUUGGAAUUUGUCUGGAAGAAUCCUAAAGCUAAAUAAAUAGAAGCUUCUAAAUUACCUUUUUCCCCCCUUGAGUAGAUCAAAUUCUUAGAACUCCUGCCAGCCACCUGUACACCAGGAGCUGUGGGUGGGAGCGGGCGUGAGGCAGAGAGGGCUUCCUGUUACCAUUAAAUGGUAAAAGAGACCUCUACAUAUCAACUAUGGCCUCUUUUUCUGGACUCUUCUCCUGUCCAUUUAGUGUGAAUAUUUGAAGGUUAAACUGAGCAUGGCCCCACAUGUCUGAUUGCUCACCCAUCGACAUACAACCUGAAGUCACAAAUUUGGCUUCAGAGAAUGUUGUGGAGCCGAAAGGAUGGCAACUUCAAUUUUCAAUAAAUAACUAGAAACAGAGAAAAUAGCUUUCCAAGUCAUCAAAGAAAACCCAUGGUGAGAAGGAUAUCAAUGGAUUAGAAGAGGCAUAAAGAGGAAACUGAAGGCAAAGCAUUGACAAAAUCUAGAAACGAUUAUCAGCCUCAGCUAAGUCUGAUACUCACCUGCUCCGUGGACAGAGUAGGGAAGCAGCAGUUACAAGUUAUGAGAAACAGCGCUGCAGUAUUGUCGGGAGGCAAGGUGAGGGCUUUCCUUCCUCUUUGAGGGUCAGUUGGCAGUCUGGGGGCACACUGCUUCCAAAACGACACAGAACUGUAAACCUUUAACAAUGGUUUAAAAAUCUGCAUGCUUCUGCUCUGUUGCCUGCCACCGCUGCCUGACAAGAGUGGUUCACUGCACUAUGAAGACAGGCUCCAGAUGCUUAGAACUAGUGCCUCCAAUCCCAGAUGCUAGGUCCGGCAAAGGCUCCAUGGUUCUGGCCUAUGGGGGUGGCCUGGACACCUCCUGCAUCCUCGUGUGGAUGAAGGAACAAGGCUAUGACGUCAUUGCCUACCUGGCCAAUACUGGCCAGAAGGAAGACUUCGAGGAAGCCAGGAAGGCGGCACUGAAACUUGUGGCCAAACAGGUGUUCACUGAGGAUGUCAUCAGGGAGUUUGUGGAGGAGUUCAUCUGGCCGGCCAUCCAGUCCAGCACACUGUGUGAGGACUGCUACCUCCUGGGCACCCCUCUCGCCAGGUCCUGCAUUGCCAGCAAACAAGUGGAAAUCGUCCAGCGGGAGAGGGUGCCCACGGCACCACGGGUAAGGAGAACGAUCAGGUCCAGUUUGAGCUCAUCUGGUACUCGCUGGCACUCCCUCACAGAUAAAGGUCAUUGAACUCUGGAGGAUGCCCGAGUUCUAUAACCAGUUCAAGGGCAGUAAUGAGCUGAUGGAAUACACAAAGCAACACGGGAUUCCCAUUCCUGUCACUCCCAAGAACCCAUGGAGCAUGGACGAGAACCUCAUGCAUAUCAGCUGGGAGGCUGGAACCCUGGAGAACCCCAAGAACCAAGUGCCUCCAGGUCUCUACACGAAGACCCAGGAACCGGCCAAAGCCCUCAACACCCCUGACAUCCUCGAGAUCGAGUUUAAAAAACGGUCCCUGUGAAGGGACCAGCGUAAAGGGUCCCCGUGAAGGUGACCAACGUCAAGGAUGGCUCCACCCACCAGACCUCUUUGGAGUUCUUCAUGUACCUGAACGAAGUCGCGGGCAAGCACGGUGUGGGAUGUACUGACAUCAUGGAGAACCACUUCACUGGAAUGAAGGCCCGAGGUAUCUAUGAGACCCCAGCAGGCACCAUCCUUUACCACACUCAUUUAGACAUCGCGGCCUUCACCAUGGACCAGGCAGGAGGUGCGCAAAAUCAAACAAGGCCUGGGCUUGAAAUUUGCUGAGCUUGAAAUUUGCCGGUUUCCAGCACAGCCCUGAGUGUGAAUUUGUCCGCCACUGCAUCGCCAAGUCCUAGGACUGAGUAGAAGGGAAAGCGCAGGUGUCCAUCCUCAAGGGCCAGGUGUACAUCCUUAGCCGGGAGUCCCCACUGUCUCCCUACAACGAGAAGCUCAUGAGCAUGAACGCGCAGGGUGAUUAUGAACCAAUUGAUGCCACCGGGUUCAUCGACAUCAAUUCCCUCAGGCUGAAGGAGUAUCAUUGCCUCCUGAGCAAGGUCACUGCCAAAUAGACCACUGUACAAUGAGGAGCUGGGGCCUCCUCACUUUGCAGCUACCCCAAGUACAGGUGCUAACUGUUGUGAUAAUUUGUAAUUGUGACUUGUUCUUCCCAGCUGGUAGCGUAGUGGGGCUACCAGGCCCCAGCUUUGUCCCUGGUCCCCUGAAGCCUGCAAACAUCGUCAUUGAAGGGAAGGGUGGGGGACAGCUGCGGUGGGUAGCUAUAAAAUGGCAAUUAAAAGAUACACUAGUAAAAAAAUUGACUGCUCUGAAAACGAGUCUACUGGGCAGUGACAUUCACCUUUCUGAAAUUAAUGCAUACUCUAUUUGCAUUUUCUCUUUUUCCUGUCAUCAUCUUUGUCAAUUAGUAAAUAAAUCCCUAAAGCUUGUAAAUAUUAUUUUGGGCUAGCCAUGGUUGCACCAUCAUGCCUAUAAUCCCAAAACUUUGGGAGGUAGUAGGGAGAGGACUGCUUGAGCCCA